rnacentral:rRNA from 2 species
GGGGGGCUAUAAUGCAAGUCGAGCGAACUGAUUAGAAGCUUGCUUCUAUGACGUUAGCGGCGGACGGGUGAGUAACACGUGGGCAACCUGCCUGUAAGACUGGGAUAACUUCGGGAAACCGAAGCUAAUACCGGAUAGGAUCUUCUCCUUCAUGGGAGAUGAUUGAAAGAUGGUUUCGGCUAUCACUUACAGAUGGGCCCGCGGUGCAUUAGCUAGUUGGUGAGGUAACGGCUCACCAAGGCAACGAUGCAUAGCCGACCUGAGAGGGUGAUCGGCCACACUGGGACUGAGACACGGCCCAGACUCCUACGGGAGGCAGCAGUAGGGAAUCUUCCGCAAUGGACGAAAGUCUGACGGAGCAACGCCGCGUGAGUGAUGAAGGCUUUCGGGUCGUAAAACUCUGUUGUUAGGGAAGAACAAGUACGAGAGUAACUGCUCGUACCUUGACGGUACCUAACCAGAAAGCCACGGCUAACUACGUGCCAGCAGCCGCGGUAAUACGUAGGUGGCAAGCGUUAUCCGGAAUUAUUGGGCGUAAAGCGCGCGCAGGCGGUUUCUUAAGUCUGAUGUGAAAGCCCACGGCUCAACCGUGGAGGGUCAUUGGAAACUGGGGAACUUGAGUGCAGAAGAGAAAAGCGGAAUUCCACGUGUAGCGGUGAAAUGCGUAGAGAUGUGGAGGAACACCAGUGGCGAAGGCGGCUUUUUGGUCUGUAACUGACGCUGAGGCGCGAAAGCGUGGGGAGCAAACAGGAUUAGAUACC